GACGAACGCUGGCGGCGUGCUUAACACAUGCAAGUCGAACGGAAAGGCCCUGCUUUUGUGGGUUGCUCGAGUGGCGAACGGGUGAGUAACACGUGAGUAUCCUGUCCUUGUCUUUGGGAUAACUUCUGGAAACUGGGGCUAAUAUCGGAUAGGAGCUCUUGCUGCAUGGUGGGGGUUGGAAAGUUUCGGCGGUUGUGGAUGGACUCGCGGCUUAUCAGCUUGUUGGUGGGGUAGUGGCUUACCAAGGCUUUGACGGGUAGCCGGCCUGAGAGGGUGACCGGCCACAUUGGGACUGAGAUACGGCGCAGACGCCUACGUGAGGCAGCAGUGGGGAAUAUUGCACAAUGGGCGGAAGCGUGAUGCAGCAACGCCGCGUGCGGGAUGACGGCCUACGGGUUGUAAACCGCUUUCGAAGGUGACGAAGCGUGAGUGACGGUAAUGGGUAAAGAAGCACCGGCUAACUACGUG
rnacentral:rRNA from 1 species